ACCUUAGCUGCAUUCACUCUCUUUUACAAUGUCUCUGACGACAGUGAGAUAGAGAGGGCCAGUCUGUCUGUCUCAGAGAGAAAGAGGUUCUAUUAUACCUGUGAGCUAACAGCUCAUUCACCGUCUCUCCUGCUUCUUUCUCCUCUCUGGUUCUUUCCAUAAGCUCAUUUGUCUGUUUAUGGGGCAUUGAACCCUCAAUCACACCACUCUCUUUCCACACUCUUUACUCCUCACCACUUUCAGGGCAUCAUCAGUCCCUUCAUUGUCUUCUCCAAUGCCAUUACCUCAAGGCGCCAUCACCUUCAUCAUUAACACUUCCUCUAACUUAUGCUGCAAUUGUGCCGACUAAACCAGUACUCAAAGUGAAAAGAGAAUCCCAAAAGCCAUAAAAAAGAGACAAACAAACCUCAUGGAUUACUUCUCUUGCUGCUUCCCCACUCUCAUUUCCAGCUGUGUUCUUCUUCUUCUUGUGAGUUAUAAAGGUUGUGUAUUAGCUGCUACGUUCACAUUUGUAAACAAAUGUGAGCACACAGUUUGGCCUGGAAUUCUUGCCAAUGCGGGCAGUCCUAGACUUGA